rnacentral:rRNA from 1 species
CCAGACUCCUACGGGAGGCAGCAGUGGGGAAUAUUGCGCAAUGGGGGAAACCCUGACGCAGCAACGCCGCGUGAGUGAGGAAGUAUCUCGGUAUGUAAAGCUCUAUCAGCGGGGAAGAAAGAGGACGGUACCCGACUAAGAAGCCCCGGCUAACUAUGUGCCAGCAGCCGCGGUAAUACAUAGGGGGCAAGCGUUAUCCGGAAUUAUUGGGUGUAAAGGGUGCGUAGACGGAAGAACAAGUUGGUUGUGAAAUCCCUCGGCUCAACUGAGGAACUGCAACCAAAACUAUUCUCCUUGAGUGUCGGAGAGGAAAGUGGAAUUCCUAGUGUAGCGGUGAAAUGCGUAGAUAUUAGGAGGAACACCAGUGGCGAAGGCGGUCUGCUGGACAGCAACUGACGCUGAGGCGCGAAAGCGUGGGGAGCAAACAGGAUUAGAUACCCCAGUAU